rnacentral:rRNA from 1 species
GCUCAGGAUGAACGCUGGCGGCGUGCUUAACACAUGCAAGUCGAACGAAGCACUUAAGAUUGAUUCUUCGGAUGACGUCUUUUGUGACUUAGUGGCGGACGGGUGAGUAACGCGUGGGUAACCUGCCUCACACAGGGGGAUAACAGUUGGAAACGACCGCUAAUACCGCAUAACCCGCUAGGGCCGCAUGGCCCGGACGGAAAAGAUUUAUCGGUGUGAGAUGGACCCGCGUUGGAUUAGCUAGUUGGCAGGGUAACGGCCUACCAAGGCGACGAUCCAUAGCCGGCCUGAGAGGGUGAACGGCCACAUUGGGACUGAGACACGGCCCAAACUCCUACGGGAGGCAGCAGUGGGGAAUAUUGCACAAUGGGGGAAACCCUGAUGCAGCGACGCCGCGUGAGUGAAGAAGUAUUUCGGUAUGUAAAGCUCUAUCAGCAGGGAAGAAAAUGACGGUACCUGACUAAGAAGCCCCGGCUAACUACGUGCCAGCAGCCGCGGUAAUACGUAGGGGGCAAGCGUUAUCCGGAUUUACUGGGUGUAAAGGGAGCGUAGACGGCAAGGCAAGUCUGAAGUGAAAGCCCGGUGCUUAACGCCGGGACUGCUUUGGAAACUGUUUAGCUGGAGUGCCGGAGAGGUAAGCGGAAUUCCUAGUGUAGCGGUGAAAUGCGUAGAUAUUAGGAAGAACACCAGUGGCGAAGGCGGCUUACUGGACGGUAACUGACGUUGAGGCUCGAAAGCGUGGGGAGCAAACAGGAUUAGAUACCCUGGUAGUCCACGC